rnacentral:rRNA from 1 species
GAUGAACGCUGGCGGCGUGCCUAAUACAUGCAAGUAGAACGCUGAAGGAGGAGCUUGCUCUUCUGGAUGAGUUGCGAACGGGUGAGUAACGCGUAGGUAACCUGCCUGGUAGCGGGGGAUAACUAUUGGAAACGAUAGCUAAUACCGCAUGACAACAGUUAUUGCAUGAUAACUGUUUAAAAGGGGCAACUGCUCCACUACCUGGUGGACCUGCGUUGUAUUAGCUAGUUGGGGUGGUAACGGCUCACCAAGGCGACGAUACAUAGCCGACCUGAGAGGGUGAUCGGCCACACUGGGACUGAGACACGGCCCAGACUCCUACGGGAGGCAGCAGUAGGGAAUCUUCGGCAAUGGACGGAAGUCUGACCGAGCAACGCCGCGUGAGUGAAGAAGGUUUUCGGAUCGUAAAGCUCUGUUGUAAGAGAAGAACGAGUGUGAGAGUGGAAAGUUCACACUGUGACGGUAUCUUACCAGAAAGGGACGGCUAACUACGUG